rnacentral:lncRNA from 1 species
AAAGCAUUAACAACACAUCACUUAACAUAAAAACUACAUUAUAUUAACUACCCAUUGCUCAACAUAAAAGGUUUAGAUCAUAAUGAGCUUAGCACAUACAACCAUACUGGUUCUUAAGCUAAUUCUUCUCAAAGAUAUAGUGGAAAAGAAAUAACAACCUAAGAGAAACGUCAUCGUCUUCUUGAAAUGGUUAAUCACCAAGAGACAACUUAUAUCAAACCAUGCAUCAACAUUAGGUACUUGAGAUAGUGAGAAGAAGAAGAAUCUCAAUUUUCA